GACAGAGGUGCCAAGCGUUAGGCGGAAUCACUGGGCUUAAAGCGUGUGUAGGCGGAUGUCUAAGUACCUUGUGAAAUCCCACGGCUCAACCGUGGAACUGCUUGGUAUACUGGAUGUCUUGAGCCACCUAGGGGCUACCGGAACAAAUGGUGGAGCGGUGAAAUGCGUAGAUAUCAUUUGGAACGCCAAUGGUGAAAACAGGUAGCUGGGGAUGUGCUGACGCUGAGACACGAAAGCCAGGGGAGCGAACGGG
rnacentral:rRNA from 1 species